rnacentral:rRNA from 1 species
UACAGAGGGGGCAAGCGUUGUUCGGAAUUACUGGGCGUAAAGGGCGCGUAGGCGGCCUUCUAAGUCGAACGUGAAAUCCCCGGGCUCAACCCGGGAACUGCGUCCGAUACUGGAAGGCUUGAAUCCGGGAGAGGGAUGUGGAAUUCCAGGUGUAGCGGUGAAAUGCGUAGAUAUCUGGAGGAACACCGGUGGCGAAGGCGGCAUUCUGGACCAAUACUGACGCUGAGGAGCGAAAGCCAGGGGAGCAAACGGG